rnacentral:rRNA from 1 species
UACGUAGGGUGCGAGCGUUGUCCGGAAUUAUUGGGCGUAAAGAGCUCGUAGGCGGUGUGUCACGUCGGCCGUGAAAACCUGCAGCUUAACUGUGGGCGUGCGGUCGAUACGGGCAGACUAGAGUGCUGUAGGGGAGACUGGAAUUCCUGGUGUAGCGGUGAAAUGCGCAGAUAUCAGGAGGAACACCGGUGGCGAAGGCGGGUCUCUGGGCAGUAACUGACGCUGAGGAGCGAAAGCGUGGGGAGCGAACAGG